UUGUGAAAACAAUUUUUCUCUUUUCCUUUUUUUUGGAAAACAGUACUUGACAAAAAUUGUUAUUAUAGUUUAUUAAAGUUUAUAUUUUUGUCUGGUGCCGUAGCAUAGUUGAUUACCGCACCUGCCUGGACCCAGGGAUAAUGGGUUCAAUGCUCUUUGCUGCAACCAUUGUGGGAGUAUGUGUCCUUGGGAAAAAUACCUAACAACAAGUGCUCAAACCCAGUGGUCACUAAUGGGUUGUCCAAAUUAUCAGUCAUAGGUAAAAAA